rnacentral:rRNA from 1 species
AUUGAACGCUGGCGGCAGGCUUAACACAUGCAAGUCGAGCGAGCGGCGGACGGGUGAGUAAUGUCUGGGAAACUGCCUGUUGGAGGGGGAUAACUACUGGAAACGGUAGCUAAUACCGCAUACCAUCAUUUGUGCCCAGAUGGGAUUAGCUAGUAGGUGGGGUAAUGGCUCACCUAGGCGACGAUCCCUCGCUGGUCUGAGAGAAUGACCGGCCACACUGGAACUGAGACACGGUCCAGAUUCCUACGGGAGGAAGCAGUGGGGAAUAUUGCACAAUGGGCGCAAGCCUGAGGCAGCCAUGCCGCGUGUGUGAAGAAGGCCUUCGGGUGGUAAAGCACUUUCAGCGAGGAGGCGUUACUCGCAGAAGAAGCACCGGCUAACUCCGUGCCAGCAGCCGCGGUAAUUC